rnacentral:rRNA from 1 species
GAUGAACGCUGGCGGCGUGCCUAAUACAUGCAAGUCGAGCGAACGGACGAGAAGCUUGCUUCUCUGAUGUUAGCGGCGGACGGGUGAGUAACACGUGGAUAACCUACCUAUAAGACUGGGAUAACUUCGGGAAACCGUAGCUAAUACCGGAUAAUAUUUUGAACCGCAUGGUUCAAAAGUGAAAGACGGUCUUGCUGUCACUUAUAGAUGGAUCCGCGCUGCAUUAGCUAGUUGGUAGGGUAACGGCUUACCAAGGCAACGAUGCAUAGCCGACCUGAGAGGGUGAUCGGCCACACUGGAACUGAGACACGGUCCAGACUCCUACGGGAGGCAGCAGUAGGGAAUCUUCCGCAAUGGGCGAAAGCCUGACGGAGCAACGCCGCGUGAGUGAUGAAGGUCUUCGGAUCGUAAAACUCUGUUAUUAGGGAAGAACAUAUGUGUAAGUAACUGUGCACAUCUUGACGGUACCUAAUCAGAAAGCCACGGCUAACUACGU